AUGGUCGCCUCCGACUCCGCGCGACGCACACGCCCGCGAAAGUCGCCGCCGGAGGACCCCGCGACGGCGCUCCCGGACGACAUGCUCCUUGAGGUCUUCAAGCGGCUGCCGCCCCCCACGGAUACCAUCCGCUGCGCCGCGGUGUGCCGGCGCUGGCGCCGCAUAGUCUCCUCUGGCGCACGCGCGGGCUGCCUCCCGACCCCGCCCCGCCACUUCGGCUUCUUCCGCAACUACCACCAGUCUCCGCUGCCCCCGUUCGUCGCCACCGGGUCCGGCGUCGAUCUCGACGUCGGCGGCCUCCUCCCCCGUGUGGUGUCGAAGCGCGGCGUCGACAUCGUCGACGGCCGCGGCGGCCUACUCGUCCUGCGCGAGCGCAGCAAAAAGUUCUGGGAGCUGAAUCUCGUCCUCUGCAGCCCGCUGGAGAGGCCAUACCGGCGGUUGCCGUCGGUGAAUAUCAGUGGGUACGACAUGGCCUGCGCCGCUUUCGUUCCUCUCCAGGGCGUCGGUUUCCGCGUCGCUGCCGUGCUCUUCGGCGGCGCCGAGGACUUGUGGCGCCGCUACGCUGUUCUGGUCUACGACUCCGCUAGCGCUCCCCCGGCCUGGAAGGUGACCACCGGCUCCCGGCAGCGCGGGGAACGGCACUACAAUGCCCACGAGGGACGUCGAAGACGUCGUGUACAGCCUUCAAGACGAGCACAUCAUGGUUGUGGACACUACCAAGAUGACAAUACUGACGACGGCCGUCUGUGCUUCUUCGUGUUCCACGACUACAAGCCGCUUCUUGUGCAGAGGUGGGCUCUUGGAGCGGAUAGCAAGUGGACUCCGCAGCAGCCGUUGUGGCUGCCCCCGGAGCUCCACGGCGAGAAGCUCACGACGGAAAUCUCCUCUUCCUUCAAGCGUGUGAGAUUCGCUGGGUUCUGCGAGGGCAGCAGGAUGCUCUUCUUCGUCAUGGAUGAUUGGGUAGUUUCUUUCGACAUCGAGACAUUGGAGAUGGAAAGGCUGUGGUGCUGCGAUACCGACGAGCCGCGGCAUCUUGGAGGGCUUAGCAAGGUGUAUCCGUACGAGAUGGUGCCGUGGCCUCCGGUACUGAUCGUUGUGGAUUUGCCAUCGUCGGAGAAAUACAGCGGGCUGCUCCCAAAAUAUUACGCCGUAAUUAUAUUUUUCAAAAAUAAUACUCAGUCGGCCUACUGUUGGUCGAUUGGAUCCAGUCAGCCUGUUGCUGGCCGAUUGCACCCCAGUCGGCCCACUGUAGGCCGAUUGGAUCCAGUCGGCCCACUGCUGGCCGAUAGGCCCCAGUCGGCCCACUGCUGGUCGAUUGGCGCCCAGUUUGCUUCCUCUAGGCCGACAGAUAAAUGGGUGCAUGCAUCUGUCGGCCUAGAGGAAGCAGACUGGGCGCCAAUCGGUCAGCAGUGGGCCGACUGGGGCCUAUCGGCCAGCAGCAGGCCGACUGGAUCCAAUCGGCCUAUAGUGGGCCGACUGGGGUCCAAUCGGCCAGCAGUAGGCUGA
rnacentral:rRNA from 1 species